AUUCCAGCUCCAAUAGCGUAUAUUAAAGUUGUUGCGGUUAAAAAGCUCGUAGUUGGAUUUCUGCUGAGGACGACCGGUCCGCCCUCUGGGUGAGUAUCUGGCUCGGCCUUGGCAUCUUCUUGGGGAACGUAACUGCACUUGACUGUGUGGUGCGGUAUCCAGGACUUUUACUUUGAGGAAAUUAGAGUGUUUCAAGCAGGCGCACGCCUUGAAUACAUUAGCAUGGAAUAAUAAGAUAGGACCUUGGUUCUAUUUUGUUGGUUUCUAGAGCUGAGGUAACGAUUAACAGGGACAGUCAGGGGCACUCGUAUUCCGCCGAGAGAGGUGAAAUUCUCAGACCAGCGGAAGACGAACCACUGCGAAAGCAUUUGCCAGGGAUGUUUUCAUUA
rnacentral:rRNA from 1 species